rnacentral:misc_RNA from 1 species
AACGCACAUUGCGCCCACCAGCACUCUGGUGGGCAUGCCCGUCUGAGCGUCAUUUCAACCCUCAGGGCCCGUCCGCGGGACCUGGCGUUGGGGAUCAGCCUAACGGCUGGCCCUGAAAUCUAGUGGCGGUCCUUCCACGACCUCCCCUGUGCAGUAGUGAUACCUCGCAGCGGGAUAGUGGUCCGGCCACGCCGUAAAACCCCCUACUUCUCAAGGUUGACCUCAGAUCGGGUAGGAAUACCCGCUGAACUUAA